CAGCCGCCACGGGAAUACGGAGGGGGCUAGCGUUGUUCGGAAUUACUGGGCGUAAAGCGCACGUAGGCGGCUUGGUAAGUUAGAGGUGAAAGCCUGGAGCUCAACUCCAGAAUUGCCUUUAAGACUGCCGAGCUAGUAGGUGAGAGAGGUAAGUGGAAUUCCGAGUGUAGAGGUGAAAUUCGUAGAUAUUCGGAAGAACACCAGUGGCGAAGGCGGCUUACUGGCUCAUUCUAGACGCUGAGGUGCGAAAGCGUGGGGAGCAAACAGGAUUAGAUACCCCAGUAGUCCCUGUCUCUUAUAC
rnacentral:rRNA from 1 species